rnacentral:rRNA from 1 species
UGAAUACGAGAUGCUACGGCGUCGAAGCAGUGUAUGUCAGACUUCCAAGAAAAGCUCGCAAUGUCAUAAAUAAAGAAUGCCUGUACCAUAACCGACACAGGUGGGUAGGUAGAGUAUACUAAGGGGCGCGAGAUAACUCUCUCUAAGGAACUCGGCAAAAUAACUCCGUAACUUCGGGAGAAGGAGUGCCUUCUUGAAGAAGGUUGCAAUAACAAGAUCCAAGCAACUGUUUAUCAAAAACACAGGUCUCCGCUAAGUCGAAGGACGAUGUAUGGGGGCUGACGCCUGCCCAGUGCCAGAAGGUUAAAGAAGCUGGUUAGCAAUAGCGAAGCUGGUGACUGAAGCCCUGGUGAACGGCGGCCGUAACAAUAACGGUCCUAAGGUAGCGAGAUUCCUUGUCGGGUAAGUUCCGACCCGCACGAAAGGCGUAAUGAUUUGGAUACUGUCUCGGAGAGGGACUCGGUGAAAUAGACUUGUCUGUGAAGAUGCGGACUACCUGCACCAGGACAGAAAGACCCUAUGAAGCUUUACUGUAACUUGAAAUUGAAAUUGACUUUAUUUGCGCAGUAUAGGUGGAAGGCGUUGAGAUUACUCUUGCGGGAUUAGUGGAGCCAUCAGUGAGAUACCACUCCUAUAAUGUUAGAUUUCUAACUUUGGAUCAUAAUCUGGUCAAAGAACAGUUUCAGGCGGGCAGUUUGACUGGGGCGGUCGCCUCCCAAAUGGUAACGGAGGCGUACAAAGGUUUCCUCUGAACGGGUAGAAAUCGUAUCUAGAGUGUAAAGGCAUAAGGAAGCUUGACUGUGAGACCUACAAGUCGAGCAGGGACGAAAGUCGGUCUUAGUGAUCUGACGGUGCUGAGUGGAAAGGCCGUCACUCAACGGAUAAAAGUUACUCUAAGGAUAACAGGCUGAUCUCCCCCAAGAGUUCACAUCGACGGGGAGGUUUGGCACCUCGAUGUCGGCUCAUCGCAUCCUGGGGCGGUAGUACGUCCCAAGGGUUGGGCUGUUCGCCCAUGAAAGCGGUACGCGAGCUGGGUUCAGAACGUCGUGAGACAGUUCGGUCCAUAUCCGGUGUAGGCGUUAGAAUAUUGAGAGGAGCCUUCUUUAGUACGAGAGGACCGAGAAGGACAUACCUCUGGUGUACCAGUUAUCGUGCCAACGGUAAACGCUGGGUAGCUAUGUAUGGAGAGGAUAACCGCUGAAAGCAUCUAAGUGGGAAGCCCCCUCAAGAUGAGUAUUCUCAUCU